UACAGAGGGGGCAAGCGUUGUUCGGAAUUACUGGGCGUAAAGGGCGCGUAGGCGGCCUGCUAAGUCGAACGUGAAAUCCCUGGGCUCAACCCAGGAACUGCGUCCGAUACUGGUUGGCUUGAAUCCGGGAGAGGGAUGUGGAAUUCCAGGUGUAGCGGUGAAAUGCGUAGAUAUCUGGAGGAACACCGGUGGCGAAGGCGGCUCUCUGGACCACAACUGACGCUGAGACACGAAAGCCAGGGGAGCGAACGGG
rnacentral:rRNA from 1 species